rnacentral:tRNA from 1 species
CCGUCGAUAGAGCGGAGGACUGUAGAGUCAGUGGUUAUCCUCAGGUUGCUGGUUCGAAUCCGGCUCGACGGA